rnacentral:rRNA from 1 species
GAAUGCAUCGAGCUGNAAAGCUCCGGCGCUCAAGGAUGGGUCUGCGGCCUAUCAGGUAGUAGUGGGUGUAGCGUACCUACUAGCCUACGACGGGUACGGGUUGUGAGAGCAAGAGCCCGGAGAUGGAUUCUGAGACACGAAUCCAGGCCCUACGGGGUGCAGCAGGCGCGAAAACUUUACAAUGCUGGAAACAGCGAUAAGGGGACCUCGAGUGCCAGGUUACAAAUCUGGCUGUCGUGAUGCCUAAAAAGCAUUGCAUAGCAAGGGCCGGGCAAGACCGGUGCCAGCCGCCGCGGUAACACCGGCGGCUCGAGUGGUAACCGUUAUUAUUGGGUCUAAAGGGUCUGUAGCCGGCCGGAUAAGUCUCUUGGGAAAUCUGGCAGCUUAACUGUCAGGCUUUCAGGAGAUACUGUCUGGCUCGAGGCCGGGAGAGGUGAGAGGUACUUCAGGGGUAGGGGUGAAAUCUUGUAAUCCUUGAAGGACCACCAGUGGCGAAGGCGUCUCACCAGAACGGACCUGACGGCAAGGGACGAAAGCUAGGGGCACGAACCGGAUUAGAUACCCGGGUAGUCCUAGCCGUAAACGAUACUCGCUAGGUGUCGGCAACGGUGCGACCGUUGUCGGUGCCGUAGGGAAGCCGUGAAGCGAGCCACCUGGGAAGUACGGCCGCAAGGCUGAAACUUAAAGGAAUUGGCGGGGGAGCAC